GACGAACGCUGGCGGCGUGCCUAACACAUGCAAGUCAACUUGAGGGAAGGAGCAAUCUGACCUGAUGGUGGCGCAAGGGUGCGUAACGCGUAAGUAACUUGCCCCAAGGUAAGGAAUAACGUCGAGAAAUCGGCGCUAAUACCUCAUAAUGCAGCGGAUCCGCAUGGAUAUGUUGUUAAAGGUUACCGCCUUGGGAUAGGCUUGCGUCUGAUUAGCUAGUUGGUGUGGUAAUGGCACACCAAGGCUACGAUCAGUAAUUGGUCUGAGAGGAUGAUCAGUCACACUGGAACUGAGACAACGGUCCAGACUCCUACGGGAGGGCAGCAGUGAGGAAUAAUUGGGCAAUGCACGAAAGU
rnacentral:rRNA from 1 species